CCAAGUAUGCGGUACGUGACC
rnacentral:misc_RNA from 1 species